CAAGACUCCUACGGGAGGCAGCAGUAGGGAAUAUUGCUCAAUGGGGGAAACCCUGAAGCAGCAACGCCGCGUGAAGGAAGAAGGCUUUCGGGUUGUAAACUUCUUUUAAGAGGGAAGAGCAGAAGACGGUACCUCUUGAAUAAGCCACGGCUAACUACGUGCCAGCAGCCGCGGUAAUACGUAGGGGGCAAGCGUUAUCCGGAUUUACUGGGUGUAAAGGGAGCGUAGACGGCAGUGCAAGUCUGGAGUGAAAGGCGGGGGCUCAACCCCCGGACUGCUCUGGAAACUGUACGGCUGGAGUGCAGGAGAGGUAAGUGGAAUUCCUAGUGUAGCGGUGAAAUGCGUAGAUAUUAGGAGGAACACCAGUGGCGAAGGCGGCUUACUGGACUGUAACUGACGUUGAGGCUCGAAAGCGUGGGGAGCAAACAGGAUUAGAUACCCGUGUAA
rnacentral:rRNA from 1 species